rnacentral:rRNA from 1 species
GACGAACCGUCCUAACGUUGUUCGGAAUCACUGGGCUUAAAGGGCGCGUAGGCGGUCGGCAAAGUCAGGGGUGAAAUCUUUCGGCUUAACCGGAAAAGUGCCUUUGAAACUAGUCGACUCGAGCGAGAUAGGGGGCAAUUGGAACUUCCGGUGGAGCGGUGAAAUGCGUAGAUAUCGUAAGGAAGACCAGUGGCGAAGGCGGGUCUCUGGACAGUUCCUGAC